UACGAAGGGAGCUAGCGUUGUUCGGAAUCACUGGGCGUAAAGCGCACGUAGGCGGAUGUGUCAGUCAGUGGUGAAAUCCCGGAGCUCAACUUCGGAACUGCCUUUGAUACAGCACAUCUGGAGUCCGGAAGAGGUGGGUGGAAUUCCUAGUGUAGAGGUGAAAUUCGUAGAUAUUAGGAAGAACACCGGUGGCGAAGGCGGCCCACUGGUCCGGUACUGACGCUGAGGUGCGAAAGCGUGGGGAGCAAACAGG
rnacentral:rRNA from 1 species